GUCGCGGUAAUACGUGGAAGACUAGUGUUAUUCAUCUUUAAUAGGUUUAAAGGGUACCUAGACGGUAUUUUUAGCCCAAAAUAGGGUACGGAUUUACUAGAGUUUUAUGUGAGGAGGGGAGUACUUGUGGAGUAGAGAUGAAAUUUUGUCAUACUAUGAGGAAACUGGUGGAGGCGAAAGCAACCUUUUAUGUAUAAACUGACGUUGAGGGACGAAGGCUUGGGUAGCAAACAGGAUUAGAUACCCUAGUAGUCCAAGCAGACAAUUCUGAAUGCCAUAGAUUAGAUUAUUUUUGGUCUAUAAAUGAAAGUGUAAGCAUUCCACCUCAAGAGUAAUGUGGCAACACAGGAACUGAAAUCAUUAGACCGUUUCUGAAACCAGUAGUGAAGUAUGUUAUUUAAUUCGAUAAUCCGCGAAAAACCUCACCACAACUUGAAUAUUUAUAAAAUAAUACAAGCGUUGCACGGCUGUCUUCAGUUAAUGUCGUGAGAUUUUGGUUAACUCCAUUAAAUUAACGUAAACCCUUACUUUAUUUCUUUUUAUAUAAAGUAGUUCCCCACUAUAUUGGAUAUGAUAAAAGGGAUUAAGACAAGUCAUCAUGACCUGAAUAUUGUGGGCUAUAGACGUGCCACA
rnacentral:rRNA from 1 species